GUGCAGCAGGCGCGAAAACUUUACAAUGUGCGAAAGCACGAUAAGGGAACUCUGAGUGCCUCCUAAGGAGGCUGUUCAGGUGUCUAAAAGCACCUGAAGGAAGGGCUGGGUAAGACCGGUGCCAGCCGCCGCGGUAACACCGGCAGCCCAAGCGGUAGCCACGUUUAUUGGGUCUAAAGCGUCCGUAGCCGGCUGGGUAAGUUCCUUGGGAAAUUUGGCUGCUUAACAGUCAAGCUUUCAGGGAAUACUGCCCGGCUUGGGGACCGGGAGAGGUCAGAGGUACUCCAGGGGUAGGGGUGAAAUCCAUUAAUCCUUGGGGGACCACCGGUAGCGAAGGCGUCUGACCAGACCGGGUCCGACGGUGAGGGACGAAGGCUAGGGGCGCGAACCGGAUUAGAUACCCGUGUAGU
rnacentral:rRNA from 1 species